ACGGGAGGCAGCAGUGGGGAAUCUUGCGCAAUGGGCGGAAGCCUGACGCAGCGACGCCGCGUGGGGGACGAAGGCCCUUAGGGUCGUAAACCCCUUUCGGCAGGGACGAAGCGAUCACGUGACGGUACCUGCAGAAGAAGCCUCGGCUAACUACGUGCCAGCAGCCGCGGUAACACGUAGGAGGCGAGCGUUGUCCGGAAUCAUUGGGCGUAAAGAGCGCGCAGGCGGCUCGGCAAGUCGGUUGUGAAAUCCCGGGGCUCAACCCCGGGACUGCGUCCGAUACUGUCGAGCUAGAGGUAGGUAGGGGAGAUCGGAAUUCCUGGUGUAGCGGUGAAAUGCGCAGAUAUCAGGAGGAACACCGGUGGCGAAGGCGGAUCUCUGGGCCUUACCUGACGCUCAGGCGCGAAAGCUAGGGGAGCGAACAGGAUUAGAUACCCUGGUA
rnacentral:rRNA from 1 species